rnacentral:rRNA from 1 species
GGGGAAUAUUGGACAAUGGGGGCAACCCUGAUCCAGCAAUGCCGCGUGAGUGAUGAAGGCCUUCGGGUUGUAAAGCUCUUUUGCCAGGGACGAUGAUGACGGUACCUGGAGAAUAAGCCCCGGCUAACUUCGUGCCAGCAGCCGCGGUAAUACGAAGGGGGCAAGCGUUGUUCGGAAUUACUGGGCGUAAAGGGCGCGUAGGCGGCUUAUCAAGUCAGGCGUGAAAUUCCCGGGCUCAACCUGGGGGCUGCGCUUAAUACUGAUGAGCUUGAAUGCGGGAGAGGAUAGUGGAAUUCCCAGUGUAGAGGUGAAAUUCGUAGAUAUCUGGAGGAACACCGGUGGCGAAGGCGGCAUCCUGGACCGACAUUGACGCUGAGGCGCGAAAGCCAGGGGAGCAAA